CGGCGGACGGGUGAGUAACACGUGGAUAACCUACCUAUAAGACUGGGAUAACUUCGGGAAACCGGGGCUAAUACCGGAUAAUAUUUUGAACCGCAUGGUUCAAAAGUGAAAGACGGUCUUGCUGUCACUUAUAGAUGGAUUCGCGCUGCAUUAGCUAGUUGGUAAGGUAACGGCUUACCAAGGCAACGAUGCAUAGCCGACCUGAGAGGGUGAUCGGCCACACUGGAACUGAGACACGGUCCAG
rnacentral:rRNA from 1 species